UGUAAAAUGUUUGGUUUAGCA
rnacentral:misc_RNA from 1 species